rnacentral:sRNA from 1 species
GCCGGGUGCAGUGGUGUACACUUGUAAUCCAGUGGCUCUGGAGGCUGAGGCAGGAGGAUCAUGAGUUCAGAGCCAGCUUCAGCAACUUACUGAGGCCCUGAGCAACACAGUGAGAGAGACCCUGUCUCCA